GAAAUCUCCAAGCAUCAUUCAUUAACAGACUCUGAUAUUCCCUUCAGUCACUGUCAUGGCUAAGAAAGCAACUCCAACCCACACACUGCAAAUAUGAAGGACCACAAAAGGCACGCAGGCUCUGGUUUGCAUAGUGAAGAUGAGCGACCGUGUUCCUAAGCAUGAAGGACCAUGAAAGGCACGCAGGCUCUGGUUUGCAUAGUGAAGAUGAGCGACCGUGUUCCUAAGCAUGAAGGACCACGAAAGGCAUGCAGGCUCUGGUUUGCAUAGUGUGGAUGAGCGACUGUGUCCCUAAGCAUGAAGGACCACGAAAGGCAUGCAGGCUCUGGUUUGCGUAGUGAAGAUGAGUGUCUGUUCCUAAGCAUGAAGGAGGACCACAUGAGGAUCCUGGACACCUACUGCAUGAAUGUAUUCACCCUUUCAGGUCUAGGGACCUGGGUACCUUGGGACAGAGGGAGUGCAGAGCAGAGAAAACCUACCUGUGCAACUGAGAAGGCCGCUCAGGCCACGGGGACAGGGCAGGAAUGCUCUCAGGAGUGUCCCCUGCACCUGAACUUGAUUUCACGCCAUCACCUUCCGCCUCUUAACCAGCAUCUCCUGGACAGUCAGCCGAGUGUUUCCAUGAUACCAGCCAUACCUGAUGCCAGGAGACUCGCUACACUUGGAAGCUCUUCAAGGCAUGCUUAUCUUUGUGAACUGAAUCUUGGAGAAGCAGGAUUGAAAAUAAGAGCUAUCUUUGAGGCUCUAGCACCUACAAGAGACACCCUCCCUCUCCACCGUGGAUCACCUGUCUCACCCGUGUGAGUCUCCACACAGAAACCAGUCAUGGCCCUGCCUUUGCCCCCCUUGAAAUCACCCAAGAGGAUGCUUCAAACUCAGGUUUAACAUCCUCCCAGGAUGUCAACUGGAAGAUCAUGCCGUUCCUGACAAUUAGAAGAGGAGUUCCCUGCUCAAGGGAAGCACAUGGUAGGGUUAAUGCUACAUGGAACAUGAACUUUGAAGAUCCUCAUUUUGGUUUCCAUGAAGGUGGUGAAGGUUCUCCAAAUAAAAGCAUUUCCAAUAAGGGUGAAGAGUAGAGAGCAGUGAUGUUUCCAAAAAGUUUAGAAUUCCUCCUUCAAAUGACUUCCUAAUGAAUAUCAGAAGGCAAUGUGUGGAGUCACAAGUCAUUGGAAUGGCAGCCACUGUGUAAUUUCAACAAAACGCUUCAUCCCUCUGAGCCUCUGGUGGCUCAUCUGUAAAUUAAGGCAAAUUCUAUCUUCAAAUUUCUUCACUCUUUGAUCAACAACUUUUAUUCAACUUUGUUGAAAAGAUCAAAAAAAUUGCAUCUCUGGUUGAAUUUGGUGGCUCUUUUUCUGGUUAAUAUAAAACGUGACUGUCAGAAUCCCAUCUCUAAAUCUUUGUCAAAUUUGUGUGGCCUCCUUUGUGUGCAGUUUACUAGUACAGCCCCAUAAUACUGGAUAAGAUUUUCCCGAAACUUCUGUGGUUUAAAUGAGAUGGUG
rnacentral:lncRNA from 1 species